CGCCAGACUCCUACGGGAGGCAGCAGUGAGGAAUAUUGGUCAAUGGCCGGAAGGCUGAACCAGCCAAGUCGCGUGAGGGAAUAAGGCCCUAUGGGUCGUAAACCUCUUUUGUCAGGGAGCAAAGGCGUCCACGUGUGGACGAGAGGAGAGUACCUGAAGAAAAAGCAUCGGCUAACUCCGUGCCAGCAGCCGCGGUAAUACGGGGGAUGCAAGCGUUGUCCGGAAUCAUUGGGCGUAAAGAGUUCGUAGGUGGCACGUUAAGUCUGGUGUUAAAUGCAGAGGCUCAACCUCUGUUCGGCACUGGAUACUGGCGAGCUUGAAUGCGGUAGAGGUAAAGGGAAUUCCUGGUGUAGCGGUGAAAUGCGUAGAUAUCAGGAGGAACAUCGGUGGCGUAAGCGCUUUACUGGGCCGUAAUUGACACUGAGGAACGAAAGCCAGGGUAGCAAAUGGGAUUAGAUACCCGUGUA
rnacentral:rRNA from 1 species